rnacentral:rRNA from 1 species
UACGUAGGGGGCAAGCGUUGUCCGGAAUCAUUGGGCGUAAAGCGCGCGUAGGCGGCUCGAUCAGUCUGCUGUAAAAGUCAAAGGCUCAACCUUUGAAUGCCGGUGGAUACUGUCGGGCUAGAGUCCGGAAGAGGCGAGUGGAAUUCCUGGUGUAGCGGUGGAAUGCGCAGAUAUCAGGAGGAACACCAACGGCGAAGGCAGCUCGCUGGGACGGUACUGACGCUGAGGCGCGAAAGCGUGGGAGCGAACAGG